rnacentral:lncRNA from 1 species
GGCAUCCCUACUGGGAGGCUCUGACCCCCACACACAUCUGGUCACUGUGACCUUACUUCCCAUAGCACCUGGGAGUACAUAAUUGUCAUGGUUGGGACCUUGCAAAGAAAUGUCAACAGGGUUAUCUUUUUCACUUUACUCAUGGACUUUUCAAUUGUAACAAAGUCUUCUAAUUGCGGUUUUCAGAUCAGAAUUCUCAGCCUCUAACACUGGGCCUGCAUGGCAAAAGGUGAAUUCAUGAGGCACUGACUCUGAAAUUGCUCCCAAUAUAGUUGGAGAGACCAAUCAGUUAACUUGAGUCUGUGUGAGUGGGCAACCUCUUCCCUGGCUGGAGAGUUAGUCAACAAACGUUUAUCAUGAGACUCAAACUCCUGGAUGUCUUAGAAAACAACCUCUCAAUUAAUGUUUCUUUCCCAGCUCUUUUCAUUGAAGACACAACAUUAGAAAGAACGCAGGGUGCAGAGGUACACAGAUGUGGGUUCAAAUUUAAAGUCCAUCACUUGGCUUGUUAGGUUUUCAUAGAAGAUGCACUUGACCUCUCUGAGCUGUCAUUUCUUCAUCUUCAAGAAGACGCUGACUCCAGAGGGUUAUCGUGAGGAUUCCGUGAAGCAGUAUGUAUCAAACCAGUCGAAAGUUUUAGGAAGUAUGUUGAAUGCCUACUAUUCACUGCUCUGACACCAGUGCACAACUGGGUUUCUCUGCAAGUUAUUCGAAAGUCAGUGGGGAGUGGACUCACAGUGAAUGUACUUACUCAUCAGAGGAUAGCAGAAGAGAAUCACAGAUGGGUGAGCAAGACCAGGCCUGCUCUGUGCUGGCAGAUGCCCAGCUGGGCUUAGCUAUGACCAUCAUGAUGCCACAUAAAUGCAUCCUCAGAGAAGGACUUUGCUCCCAGGAGCCACAGGAGCAGCUCCUGCCCCAGAUAUGUUUGCCAAAUGUGACUUCGCUGUGUUUGGAGAUAUACUGCUUGUGACCUGCCAUUCAGCAGUGUCCCCUCCUCCUGAUGCUGGCAGAUGCUCUUCCCAGAGGGACCAUAGAAUGUGACAGCUGCUGAACUCCUACUCAACACCAGGCUCUGUGAGCUGUGUUUGCACGUUGAUCUUAACCAGCCUCAGUAACCACCUGGUUCUUAUUCAACAUGUGAGAAAGGAUCCAGCAAGUCACUGAUACUAGAGUUCUUCAGUUUCUUUGAGUUUGAAAAACAGAAUUAUUUCUUCUCUAAGAUACCCCAGGAAGAUCUAUACUUCAUCUUCAUAGGAAGGCAUCCGAUUAUCAAAACACAAUAGUACACAUGGAAGUCAUGAUUGACAUUUAGUUUGCCCUUUCUAGGCGUUUGUAAGUAGGGCUGCUCAGUGGAGAGGAGUUUUUCCCCCCAGGGAAUGUUCAGUAAUAUCUGGACAUAUUUUUUAGGGUGUUAAAAACAUUUAGUGGGUGAUGGCCAGGAAUGCUGCUGAACAUCUUACAGUAAACAGGAUAGUCCCCACAACAAAGAGUUGCCUAUUCCCAAGGUCCCACCUUGCAAGUAGAUGGCAGGCUCUGGGCUCCACCCUUCAUACUCCUCAGCCAGCACCCUCCACCAGGGUCAUGUUAUGUUCAUAUGUGAAAAUUGAUGUGAAAGUGUUGAGAAAGAGGAACAUGGGGGAUAAUUCUAUAAUAAAGCCUUUUUAUAGAAGGAGAAUGUUUCAAAGUUUUUUAAAUGCAUGCAUCUCCGGAAUGCCCCUGAUGUGUGCAGUGCUUGUGGGUAAACAAAGUAGGACAGCAUCUUUAGGCACAAUGCCACCACACUCCAGCCCCAUGAGGGUCACCUUCUAUGGCUUCAUGCUCUUGGCUGACCAUGCAUAGUUGUGCUCCUAUUUAAGUUGCCCAAAUGCACUUGCUAAUUGGCUUUCUAGAAUGCAGGGGUUUGACUGUCUUAUUCUUUGAGUUUUAAUCCAUGUUUUUAAAUUGACAAUCAACAUUUGAUUUGACAACCCUCUCUCAGUUUUCAGUUUACAUUGCAAUUGUUCAGCCAAAGGAGUUCUCCCCAGUGCUUCUUAUACCCCAGGCUCUUUCCUUCUGUACUUAAAAUUCUUGUGAUUCUUCACUAAGAAUCGCAGACAGCCCUAGACACUAUUUGGUGAAAUCCAAACAUUUUAUGGAAGUGGUAAUUGGGGCUCAGAGGAAAAGGAAAUGACUUUGCUAUUAUGAUAAUAAUAGUCAUAAUAGGCAAGAAUUAUGAUCACGACUAAUAUGUCUACCUAUGUGUAUAAAGCCUUAACAGUCACAAACCAUUUUUAUUUAACUGCUUUUCCUUGAACAUCAUAGCCACAUUGUUAGGUAAGCAGGAUAGAGAAUAUUUCCAUGUUUCAGUUAAGAAGUAGACUGACAUGAAUGGAGUUGAUCAAAAUUACACAGCUAAGAGAAGAGAAAGUAAUUCCAGUUCUUAUUCUUACACCCAAGUCUGAUGAAAAAUUAUUGUGCAUGUUUUACACUGUAGGUCUCUGCACGUGGCUGCCAUCGGUACUUACUGAGCCGAGCUAAUCUCCUUGCUUUGUUUAUUGCUUUGAAGUGAAUAAUGAGGCCAAGUUCAAUGAGUCAAAUAUAUAUGAGUUCAGGGUCUGUUUCUGUAUCUCCUAGGAGUGGGAUUCUGGAAAGACUGUUGAAAUUAAUGUCUCCAUCUGAAAAACAUACUUCUAUGCAAUUAUUGAUUAUG